UAAACAGCAAACCGUUCAGUCAGAAGGUGUCGGCUAGGAAACUGCUCUGCGUGGUGCACCACCUUCCUUUGAAACUAGAUUGUUCUCCAUGACCCGGCGUCUAUUUUGUGUUACCGUGUUUCAGGCACAAGCCUCCCAGCUUCCUACAUAAAUGGCUCCCAGGAAGGUGGACUCCACUCUCCGCCUCUCUAACAUGACAGUACCGAAGCUCACAGGCGCCCUUUUACUCUUCUAGUUCCAUUUCGUCUGGUUCCAUUUCAGACAAUUUGGGUUAUAAUAACCAUCUGUGAUACCAUCAUCGUCAUCUUCAUCAUCUAAGCUGUAAGACAAUGAUGUUUUUAAGAACUUUCGAGAACCUCCCCAAAAGCAACUUCUCCUUCUUGCCCUGAGGCAGCACAGACAGAACCAGUCUUUCUUCCUGCCUCCUCGCCUUCCUUCUCCCCCAUGCUUUUCCGAUGAAGGGUGUGGAGAGCAAGCACCCACAAGUAACAGGCUUCCUGCCUCUGUCAGCAGAUCUCCAGACUGAAGAUCUCAACAUCUUCCUUAAUCCGCAUGUAGAGCUCAAAUUUUAUAUGUUGCACCUGGAUCUCACCAACUUGAAAAAUGGAACCCAGAUAAAGAAUAAAUGAAGCAAGAAGUGAGUAGGAAAAGCUGGUCAUCCAUGGCUGCACCUUCUCGUUCUUCCUCUCAAUACCAUCACAUCUCAUCUGCUUCAACACCCACAGCCUGCUUGCCCACACAUACCCGACAACAUACACAUUUACUCCAUUUUGGCCAUCUGUUCAGGAAUGUAAAAGCGAAAUGCUUUAAACAGAUUAGAAAAACUCUAAAAUGCUUAAUAAAAGUGCUUAGCU